GACCGUAGUGUCAGUUGGUAGAGCACAUGCUUAACAUUGUCCUAAUGAAACGCAUGUUGUCGUCGGUUCGAGCCCGGCCAGAGUCA
rnacentral:tRNA from 1 species